GUAGUGUACACUUUGUUCUCAGCUUUAAAAUUUUAUUAUGUUUUUUGGUUUCAAAUCCCGUUUAAAGCGAGUGAGUUGCUAUUUUUGUGUUCUACGGUUAGGACAACUUCCAGGAUGACUGGGACAUACAGCAUGCAGAGAGGAAAUACGAAUACAAGCAACAUUUGAGUCGGAAACCCCGAAGGAAAGAGACGAUUUAGGAGACUGAUUUUUAGAGGUAGCGGCCUUGCAACGUGCUGAUCAUCCGUACAAGAAUCCAGCCAACCGUAAAAAAGAGUCAUAAUUUCAAAAUAAAUUCUGACAGGAAGAGACCAGAGGGCCUAAGCAGUUAAGGUAGAAGAAGAAUAAAAAGAAGUAGUUAACCUGCAGCUCAAACUGUUAGGAAUUAAAUAACAAACAUGAAGAGAUUCUUAAUGCAGCAAAGAAUCUGUAGGUAGUGAAUUUAACUAUAUUGUGAUGUUAAGACCCGUGGCUAAGCAGCGACUCUGUAAACAAUGGCCGUUGCCAGGCAAAGCACGCAACAAUAGAACAACAGGGUUAUGCAAACCGUUUCUAAGUAACGGAUCGGUAAACACGCCUUGUUGGAAACAGUGUUUUGUACUAUGUCCGUGCAAAGUCCUUAUAAAGAAGUAGUUGGUUGGCGAUCCAGUUCGACUUCCACCUUAGACCUGCGAGUCGUACUAGGCGAUGGGAAGGAAACCCAGUGCCUGAGGGUAUAACAAGGUCAUUUUGUUACAGGGGGAAAUAAAUACGGGGACCUUGCCCUCCGGUUUGUGAGAGUUCCGAACCUGGAACAGUAAAAUAUGGUCAUGAUUCCCACAUGAUUCGGAGCCGAGAAUGACCACGCUGCCGAGGGUCAGCAGCAAUCGUAAACGCCAGAUCCAUCCUUUCCUCAGAGAGGAUGUUACAUAAGGAUUAAAACUACAAGUGUUCAGUUGGAAAAAAUUACUAGUCGUUGGUCUCAAGGGGCUUAGGGCCAAGACGAACUGGCGCUAAACCGCCAGUCAUGAAGUAACCCUCACUCUCUGACGAUCCAGUUCAACUGAGUGAAGUGACGUGAAGUAGAGCUACUUGAAGCUGGUGAGCGAGAGAGUUCAUAUGCCAGGGCAUUUCUGUUGAAAGUCAGCCUGUGAAGAGAAGACUAGGAGGUUGGUGCGAAAUGGCCGCCAGCCUGGGACC